GACGAACGCUGGCGGCGUGCCUAAUACAUGCAAGUCGAGCGGUCCCUUCGGGGAUAGCGGCGGACGGGUGAGUAACACGUAGGCAACCUGCCUGUAAGACCGGAAUAACUAUCGGAAACGAUAGCUAAGACCGGAUAGCUGGUUUUCUCGCAUGAGAGAAUCAUGAAACACGGGGCAACCUGUGGCUUACAGAUGGGCCUGCGGCGCAUUAGCUAGUUGGUAGGGUAACGGCCUACCAAGGCGACGAUGCGUAGCCGACCUGAGAGGGUGACCGGCCACACUGGGACUGGGACACGGCCCAGACUCCUACGGGAGGCGGCAGUAGGGAAUCUUCCGCAAUGGACGCAAGUCUGACGGAGCAACGCCGCGUGAGUGAUGAAGGUCUUCGGAUCGUAAAGCUCUGUUGCCCUAGACGAACAGCAAGGAGAGUAACAGCUCUUUGUGUGACGGUAUAGGAGAAGAAAGCCCCGGCUAACUACGUGCCAGCCGCCGCAGUAA
rnacentral:rRNA from 1 species